GCCAGACUCCUACGGGAGGCAGCAGUGGGGAAUAUUGCACAAUGGGGGAAACCCUGAUGCAGCAACGCCGCGUGAGUGAAGAAGUAUUUCGGUAUGUAAGGCUCUAUCAGCAGGGAAGAGAAUGACGGUACCUGACUAAGAAGCCCCGGCUAACUACGUGCCAGCAGCCGCGGUAAUACGUAGGGGGCGAGCGUUAUCCGGAUUUACUGGGUGUAAAGGGAGCGUAGACGGCUGGUCAAGUCUGAAGUGAAAGCCCGGGGCUUAACCCCGGAACGGCUUUGGAAACUGAGCAGCUAGAGUGCUGGAGAGGUAAGCGGAAUUCCUAGUGUAGCGGUGAAAUGCGUAGAUAUUAGGAGGAACACCAGUGGCGAAGGCGGCUUACUGGACAGUAACUGACGUUGAGGCUCGAAAGCGUGGGGAGCAAACAGGAUUAGAUACCCUGGUAU
rnacentral:rRNA from 1 species